UACGUAGGGUGCGAGCGUUGUCCGGAAUUAUUGGGCGUAAAGGGUGCGUAGGCGGUUUUGUAAGUCUUGUGUGAAAUCUUCAGGCUCAACUUGAAGACUGCACGAGAAACUGCAGGGCUUGAGUGGUGGAGAGGUGAGUGGAAUUCCUGGUGUAGCGGUGAAAUGCGUAGAUAUCAGGAGGAACACCUGUGGCGAAAGCGGCUCACUGGACCACAACUGACGCUGAUGCACGAAAGCUAGGGGAGCAAACAGG
rnacentral:rRNA from 1 species